GCGUUAAGCGUCCCGCCUGGGGAGUACGGCCGCAAGGCUAAAACUCAAAGGAAUUGACGGGGGCCCGCACAAGCGGCGGAGCAUGCGGAUUAAUUCGAUGCAACGCGAAGAACCUUACCUGGGCUUGACAUGUUCCCGACGGUCGUAGAGAUACGGCUUCCCUUCGGGGCGGGUUCACAGGUGGUGCAUGGUCGUCGUCAGCUCGUGUCGUGAGAUGUUGGGUUAAGUCCCGCAACGAGCGCAACCCUCGCCCCGUGUUGCCAGCGGAUUAUGCCGGGAACUCACGGGGGACCGCCGGGGUUAACUCGGAGGAAGGUGGGGAUGACGUCAGAUCAUCAUGCCCCUUACGUCCAGGGCUUCACGCAUGCUACAAUGGCCGGUACAACGGGAUGCGACGCGGCGACGCGGAGCGGAUCCCUGAAAACCGGUCUCAGUUCGGAUCGCAGUCUGCAACUCGACUGCAUGAAGUCGGAGUCGCUAGUAAUCGCGAAUCAGCAACGUCGCGGUGAAUACGUUCCCGGGCCUUGUACACACCGCCCGUCAAGUCAUGAAAGUGGGCAGCACCCGAAGCCGGUGGCCUAACCCCUUGUGGGAUGGAGCCGUCUAAGGUGAGGCUCGUGAUUGGGACUAAGUCGUAACAAGGUAGCCGUACCGGAAGGUGCGGCUGGAUCACCUCCUUUCUACGGAG
rnacentral:rRNA from 1 species